ACCUGGUUGAUCCUGCCAGUAGUCAUAUGCUUGUCUCAAAGAUUAAGCCAUGCAUGUCUAAGUAUAAGCGACUUGUACUGUGAAACUGCGAAUGGCUCAUUAAAUCAGUUAUGGUUUAUUUGAUGGUACCUUACUACUUGGAUACCCGUAGUAAUUCUAGAGCUAAUACAUGCAGGAAGUCCCGACUUUGGAAGGGAUGUAUUUAUUAGAUAAGAAACCAACCCGGCUUGCCGGUUGCGUGCUGAGUCACAAUAACUGCUCGAAUCGCAUGGCCUUGUGCCGGCGAUGGUUCAUUCAAAUUUCUGCCCUAUCAGCUUUCGAUGGUAGGAUCGAGGCCUACCAUGGCGUUUACGGGUAACGGAGAAUUAGGGUUCGAUUCCGGAGAGGGAGCCUGAGAAAUGGCUACCACAUCCAAGGAAGGCAGCAGGCGCGUA
rnacentral:rRNA from 13 species